rnacentral:lncRNA from 1 species
AUGAAAUUCUGGAAUGUAGGUGUUGGGACUGGCACCCAUCGAGGGCUCGAGCGCCGUAGCCACGCAUGGCACCCUCUGAGGGCUGUGGGACCGCAUGCCCAGGGAGGAGAGGGCGACCGGCCAGUGACCCUGAAGACCUGGAAUCGUCUUUCUCAGCUCAGGGAGGCUGCCCGGCCCCCAGGUGUCCACCGCACCACCCAGGUCUCAAGCCUGGCAGGAGCGGCCACUUCUAAAGACCAUGUUCAGGGGCGCCCGGGGCUCAGUGGUGGAGCGCCCGCUCGGCCAGGGCGGGACCCCGGGGUCCGGGAUCGUCCCUGCGUGGGGCCUGCUUCUCCCACUGCCUGUGUCUCUGCCUCUCUCUCUCUCUCUCUCUCUCUCAUGAAUAAACAAAAUCUUUAAAAAUCAAAUCAAAUCAAAUAAAAGCUAUGUUCACAACAGCAGUCUCCUCAGGUAGGAAUCCCCCCCUGACCGGGCCAGCUCUAGAAAGGUCCUCUGUAUGAGGAAAGAAAACCAAGUGAGUGAACAUAAAUCACCCCUCGCCCUAGACCCACCCGGUGGACAAACCUAAGUCUGGCUACUUGCCACCAGUGGCAAAUUUUGCAGUGUGGGCUCCUUUGCCAAGAGUUUUGUCUUCUGUCUUUUCCACUGGUAGUGGGGGUGGGGGUGCCACAUGUGCCUGACACUAGCAGCUCGGCAGCGAGUGUGCAGGGACACAGAGGCCCUGGGCUCCGUGCACCCACCCUGAGGACCUGAUGGAGGGUUUCCAAGGGUAGACCAACACCCUGAACAGCCCAGAGCCCACGUGGGACCAGAGGCCAAGGCCAAACCACGGCCUCCUGGGAAGCCAGCUCCUUCAAAUGCUAAGUAAACGUUCCCUGAGAGAAGCUGACCCCAGGCGUGAGAUUCUUUCCUAAGUUAGGUCAUCUGCAAAGUGGUUUGGAAAAAGUCCAGGCAGCCUCGGGACCUGAAUCGAUGACCUGAAUAAUAUGCAGUUUGUAGGACAGAAACCCGCUGCUUUAAAAACGGAUCUUGGCAGAGCUCUGUGCGUUUGCAGUGUCGCACCUGGCCGGAGUCUGUCUCACGUGGGCCCGUGAGUCCCCACCACCCCCCAAAGCCGGCAGACAGGCCCUGAGAACUCAGGAGGCCAGUGUCAAGGACACAAGGCGACAGCUCAGCUGGCUGCAGCGCUCUCUGUGGAUGUCGCCACGGAGAUCAGAUUUUAGGUUCUUUCGAUGCUUUGUCGUUCGUUUUACUGGACAGUUUACCAAGCACGGAGUGUGCGAAGUGUAACGGGAAACAACCUACAGGCCAGGGCCUGUCAGGGGGUUACAGGUGCACCUGACAGGAGCUGCUCCCUCCGGCCCUGACCCCGCUCCCUGGUGCCCUUAGUACCCGGCCGGGGCAGGAGGAGGGGACCAGUCACAUUCUUUAGUGUGUGGUUUCUUUCUUUCUUCCUUUCUUUCUUUCUUUCUUUCUUUCUUUCUUUCUUUCUUUCUUUCUUUCUUUCUUUCUUUCUUUCUUUUCUUUCUUUCCUUCCUCCUUUCCUUUCCUUUCCUUUCCUUUCCUUUCCUUUCCUUUCCUUUCCUUUCCUUUCCUUUCUUUCCUUCUUUCCUUUCCUUUCCUUUCCUUCCUUUCCUUUCCUUUCCUUUCCUUUCCUUUCUUUCCUUCUUUCCUUUCCUUUCCUUUCCUUUCCUUUCCUUUCCUUUCCUUUCCUUUCCUUUCCUUUCCUUUCUUUCCUUCUUUCCUUUCCUUUCCUUUCUUAAAAUCUAUGUAUUUACUUGAGAGGGGAGGGCACACGGCAGGGAGGGGCAGCGGCAAAGGAGACGCAGACCCUUGAGCAGGGAGCCCACUGUGGGCCGCGACCCCAGGACCCGGGAAAGUUUCCAAACAGGCUUCGGGGGGCGCCUGGGUGGCUCAGGCCACGGGAGUCUGGAGCCGCUUCGCCCCCCUGCCCCCACUCUCCAGGACACACGCCAUGCACACUCUCUCCCUGUCAAAUAAAUGAAUACAAUCUUUAAAAAAUUAAAGAGGCUUUGAGAAAG